GAUGAACGCUGGCGGCGUGCCUAAUACAUGCAAGUAGAACGCUGAAGGAAGGAGCUUGCUCUUUCCGGAUGAGUUGCGAACGGGUGAGUAACGCGUAGGUAACCUGCCUGGUAGCGGGGGAUAACUAUUGGAAACGAUAGCUAAUACCGCAUAACAGUAGAUGUUGCAUGAUAUCUACUUAAAAGGUGCAAUUGCACCACUACCAGAUGGACCUGUGUUGUAUUAGCUAGUUGGUGAGGUAACGGCUCACCAAGGCGACGAUACAUAGCCGACCUGAGAGGGUGAUCAGCCACACUGGGACUGAGACACGGCCCAGACUCCUACGGGAGGCAGCAGUAGGGAAUCUUCGGCAAUGGACGGAAGUCUGACCGAGCAACGCCGCGUGAGUGAAGAAGGUUUUCGGAUCGUAAAGCUCUGUUGUAAGAGAAGAACGAGUGUGAGAGUGGAAAGUUCACACUGUGACGGUAUCUUACCAGAAAGGGACGGCUAACUACGUG
rnacentral:rRNA from 1 species